CCUACGGGUGGCAGCAGUGGGGAAUAUUGCACAAUGGGCGCAAGCCUGAUGCAGCAAUGCCGCGUGUGUGAAGAAGGCCUUCGGGUUGUAAAGCACUGUCAGCGGGGAGGAAGGCGUUAAGGUUAAUAACCUUGGCGAUUGACGUUACCCGAAGAAGAAGCAACGGCUAACUCCGUGCCAGCAGCCGCGGUAAUACGGAGGGUGCAAGCGUUAAUCGGAAUUACUGGGCGUAAAGCGCACGCAGGCGGUCUGUCAAGUCGGAUGUGAAAUCCCCGGGCUCAACCUGGGAACGGCAUUCGAAACUGGCAGGCUAGAGUCUUGUAGAGGGGGGUAGAAUUCCAGGUGUAGCGGUGAAAUGCGUAGAGAUCUGGAGGAAUACCGGUGGCGAAGGCGGCCCCCUGGACAAAGACUGACGCUCAGGUGCGAAAGCGUGGGGAGCAAACAGGAUUAGAUACCCUUGUAGUC
rnacentral:rRNA from 1 species